UACGUAGGUCCCGAGCGUUGUCCGGAUUUAUUGGGCGUAAAGCGAGCGCAGGUGGUUUAUUAAGUCUGGUGUAAAAGGCAGUGGCUCAACCAUUGUAUGCAUUGGAAACUGGUACACUUGAGUGCAGGAGAGGAGAGUGGAAUUCCAUGUGUAGCGGUGAAAUGCGUAGAUAUAUGGAGGAACACCGGUGGCGAAAGCGGCUCUCUGGCCUGUAACUGACACUGAGGCUCGAAAGCGUGGGGAGCAAACAGG
rnacentral:rRNA from 1 species